AUGAAGAAUUGUAUUAAUGUCAUGUGAAGAGUUCAGUGACGUAUGGAUUGAUAGAUGGUAUGUAACUGUGGGUGAUAUACAUUUAAUACUCUGAGGACAAAGUGAAGGAGUCACUGUUAACAUGGCUCUCCACCAGUUUCUGUGUGGCUUCACUGUGGUGAUCAUUCUCUUAUCCAAAGGUUGUCAGUCACAGGACUGCGGCAAAGCUCCCAAAAACACUGGAAUUUGGGAGGUGGAGAUGCCUCCCCAGGAAGUUGGCCCUGGCAGGCCGAAUUGAGAGAAGAUGGUAAAUACAUCUGUGUGGGGUCACUGAUUAAC